rnacentral:lncRNA from 1 species
UCUUGCUUUCACUAGAGAUGCGUGCAGUGUGUGGCCUGAGCUGGCCCUCUGUGGGAAAGGUACUCGUUAAAAUUCGGCUUACUCUGGCCUCCUGUGACCCAGACUGACAGAAAAGAGGAACGCCCUGGGGUCCUUUCCUGGCCUGCUUUGGUCAGGCUUGGACGCAGGUAGCUGCAGGUGCAAUUACACCUUUGGCCACGUGGGGGAGCCCACGUGCCACCACUCACAUUCCACCCAGGAGGCGGGUUUAGUGCCAAACGUCUUUUCUUUGGGUUUAUUUUUCGCUCUCUGCCUCUCUGGCUUCUUGGCCCAGUGCGUUUUCCUCUGUUCUUUA